CCGGGGGAACUGAAACAUCUAAGUACCCCGAGGAAAAGAAAUCAACCGAGAUUCCCCCAGUAGCGGCGAGCGAACGGGGAGCAGCCCAGAGCCUGAAUCAGUAUGUGUGUUAGUGGAAGCGUCUGGAAAGGCGCGCGAUACAGGGUGACAGCCCCGUACACAAAAAUGCACAUGCUGUGAGCUCGAUGAGUAGGGCGGGACACGUGGUAUCCUGUCUGAAUAUGGGGGGACCAUCCUCCAAGGCUAAAUACUCCUGACUGACCGAUAGUGAACCAGUACCGUGAGGGAAAGGCGAAAAGAACCCCGGCGAGGGGAGUGAAAAAGAACCUGAAACCGUGUACGUACAAGCAGUGGGAGCACGCUUAGGCGUGUGACUGCGUACCUUUUGUAUAAUGGGUCAGCGACUUAUAUUCUGUAGCAAGGUUAACCGAAUAGGGGAGCCGAAGGGAAACCGAGUCUUAACUGGGCGUUAAGUUGCAGGGUAUAGACCCGAAACCCGGUGAUCUAGCCAUGGGCAGGUUGAAGGUUGGGUAACACUAACUGGAGGACCGAACCGACUAAUGUUGAAAAAUUAGCGGAUGACUUGUGGCUGGGGGUGAAAGGCCAAUCAAACCGGGAGAUAGCUGGUUCUCCCCGAAAGCUAUUUAGGUAGCGCCUCGUGAAUUCAUCUCCGGGGGUAGAGCACUGUUUCGGCAAGGGGGUCAUCCCGACUUACCAACCCGAUGCAAACUGCGAAUACCGGAGAAUGUUAUCACGGGAGACACACGGCGGGUGCUAACGUCCGUCGUGAAGAGGGAAACAACCCAGACCGCCAGCUAAGGUCCCAAAGUCAUGGUUAAGUGGGAAACGAUGUGGGAAGGCCCAGACAGCCAGGAUGUUGGCUUAGAAGCAGCCAUCAUUUAAAGAAAGCGUAAUAGCUCACUGGUCGAGUCGGCCUGCGCGGAAGAUGUAACGGGGCUAAACCAUGCAC
rnacentral:rRNA from 1 species